rnacentral:rRNA from 1 species
AUGGUGUGUACUGGCUUUACUGAUUCCUCCUUCUUGAAGAACUGUAAUGUCAUUAAUUUGGUGUUGCAGGGAAACAGGACUGUUACUUUGAAAAAAUUAGAGUGUUUAAAGCAGGCUAACGCUUGAAUACAUUAGCAUGGAAUAAUGAAAUAGGACGUUCGAUCCUAUUUUGUUGGUUUCUAGGAUUGACGUAAUGAUUAAUAGGGAUAGUUGGGGGCAUUAGUAUUCAAUUGUCAGAGGUGAAAUUCUUGGAUUUAUUGAAGACUAACUACUGCGAAAGCAUUUGCCAAGGAUGUUUUCAUUAAUCAAGAACGAAAGUUAGGGGAUCGAAGACGAUCAGAUACCGUCGUAGUCUUAACCAUAAACUAUGCCGACUAGGGAUCGGAUGAUGUUAAUUUUUUAAUGACU